rnacentral:tRNA from 1 species
AGUCUUAUAGUCUAAUAAGGACAAUAAAGUGCAAAUUUAUUGGUGGGGGGAUCCCUAAGGCUU